CAGUGGAAUUAGCCUUAAACUAUCUUUUUUCUGAGGUGAAAAUUGAUGUGAAUCCAAGUCAACUUUCCCUCCUAUCCACCAUUAUCCAUCCACUUUAAAAUUACACACUACACAUCCAGCUUAUGGCAGUGAUCCAUUUUAUUCAUUUCAAUUUGUACUCAGGUGUCAACAUAUAUGAGCUGGUUCUAUGUAUGAAUCAUUAAGGGAAGCUACAGUAUAAGCCUCCAGCCUUGAUCUGUGUGUUCUUGGAGUGCACAUGGCUCAACCCUCACAGAGGUUGGGCUCAGUCAAGGGCCUCUUAGCACAUAUCCAAGUACAGACUCUGCCUGCUGUCAUCAGCCCUGCCUACUUCCUGUGGUGAUGACUCCUCAUGUGUUGAUGGACUUCUGAGUGAACAGCCUGUCUUUGUUUCUGUGGGGUAAACCAGGAUCUAACUGCAGGUUUAAGAAUCCAGAGAUUGUGUGGGGGAUGGGGAGAAGGUGCUGAUGGACAAUCCAAGAAGCACUUAGUUUGAAGAGACUGAUGGAUCAAGAUCAAGCCUUUUCCCCUGCGAUGCUUUGAUGGCAUCUGACCGAAAAAUUAGCACCGACAGCUUUUGGUGACAGUGGAUGGUGGAUGGAAACACGCAUUAAUUUGAUUUUUUGUUUUUUCUGGCAAUUGGAUUCAAAUUUGUGUUACAUCUGGACAGUCAAGAACUCUUAAAUGUACAACUUCUAGAAGACAUUCAGUCAUUUCUACUAUUGUAAUGGUAGUGAUAACAACUGAUAAUGGCCAUUUAAUGGGAUGAUAACAUCCAAAACAGGUGAAAUAUAAGUGUCUUCAGCAUUGAAUUGAUUUGAUGUCAGACUGAUGUUACACAAUGUUAUUUUUAUUCUGGGUGAACUAAAUUUAAUCUCAAUGCGACCAUAUAAAUCAUGAAGCACAGUGAGUGUUUGUGGGAAAGAGAGACACAAUAGAAUAUUUGAUUCUCACCAUGUGGGAACACAGCAGUGAGUGAGACAGAGGCUGUAAACAUGUUUACAUGCAAGCUAUAUUUACAACAUGAGGUUUGAAUUCCUGGAUUGUUGAGGAAAGUGAACUGAACUAAGUGGUAGUGACAGAAUACUUUCCUAACCAUUCAAAGUUACACUUCAAUUAAAUGCCUCACCCAAAUGUGUAUAAAAUGGCAGC